AUUGAACGCUGGCGGCAUGCCUUACACAUGCAAGUCGAACGGUAACGCGGGGCAACCUGGCGACGAGUGGCGAACGGGUGAGUAAUGCAUCGGAACGUGCCCAGUAGUGGGGGAUAGCCCGGCGAAAGCCGGAUUAAUACCGCAUACGACCUACGGGUGAAAGCGGGGGACCGUAAGGCCUCGCGCUAUUGGAGCGGCCGAUGUCAGAUUAGGUUGUUGGUGGGGUAAAAGCCUACCAAGCCGACGAUCUGUAGUUGGUCUGAGAGGACGACCAGCCACACUGGGACUGAGACACGGCCCAGACUCCUACGGGAGGCAGCAGUGGGGAAUUUUGGACAAUGGGGGCAACCCUGAUCCAGCCAUGCCGCGUGCGGGAAGAAGGCCUUCGGGUUGUAAACCGCUUUUGUCAGGGAAGAAACGCUCUGGGCUAAUACCCCGGGGUAAUGACGGUACCUGAAGAAUAAGCACCGGCUAACUACGUGCCAGCCGCCGCAGUAA
rnacentral:rRNA from 1 species